ensembl:lncRNA
CUACACAAUAUUCUAUUCAUGUGUCAACAAGGUCCGUUCUGCUUUUAUUUUGAAAAGCGCCGUUUUCUUCUUCUUAUGUUUUUUGUGACGCUCACUUCCUGCUACUUACCAUUUGCAACGUGGAAGUCACGCAUCGUCGAAGCAACGUUUUCACGGUGUUCACGGCGUCAUGGUGCUCGUCGAGAGAAACAAAAUAAAUCCGUUUGAACCUCUCUGCGUCUUGAUCAAUCAAUCCGAGGGGCCGCUGCACUCUCUCCUGUCCAUCCUCCUCUUCCUCCUCCUCCACCUCCUCCUCCUCCACCUCUCCUCACUGCCUCCAACCCAACCAUGAACAGAUUACAGAAUAAUUGCCGGAGAGUUUGGACGUGUCUUUGCACGGCGCCUCGUGCAUUUAACAGGGUGACACGAGGAACCAGGACGCACAAAGAUCCUCCUUCACUCCAACGCGGCUUUUUGUUCUGCAGAAUUUACUCGGAUGCAAAUGAAGCAUCAGUCCGGUGGCCGACGUCUCCGCCAUGAGACGCUACACAUGAGGGACAAAAGAUACCCGGGUUUGCCAUUUGUAAUCUGGGGGGACUGACCCUUUAACUGCCCCCCCCCCCCCCUUCCCCCACCUGUCCAUCACCUCAGUCCCACAGCUUUUAAAACCUGGAACCCAUUGAGACGCAGCUCCGUGAAGGUCUCUUAAAGGAACACAUAAAGUACACAACGUGCGACAAAUGCUGCGGUUGUGUGUGUGAUUUAGGGGUUCGGUAAUAAUAACUCAUUAAACGUUAACCUUUGUGAUUACACUGCAGAUUGACCCGCUGUGUGUGUGUGUGUGUGUGUGUGUGUGUGUGUGUGUGUGUGUGUGUGUGUGUGUGUGUGUCAUCUUUUGGGCUGUUUUGUUAAGACGUUUAAAGUGUGAGAACAAAUGACAAACACAAAGAAAAAGAAAGCGCUGCUUAAAUGUUUGUGGAAGAUACCCAAGUAAAAUAUAUUUGUGUUCGGUCCAAUCACUAUAAAAACCUGCUAAACACACACACACGCACACACAGACACACACAGACACACAAGCUCCCAAAAACAACAUUUACAGUUCUUUGUCCGACAGGAAAACAGCAGAGCUGAGUAAACAAAAGUGUGUCA